CUGCUGUUAACCAGUUGGCAUUAUCUUGGGACCUUCCUGUGUUGACACAAGCCAACCAUGUGUGGCUUUUACACAGUCUUCUACAGCAUGCGGUGUUAGGGCGAACCUCCCAACAAGUGAAACAGCUGAGGCAGGGACUGCAGGACACAAUGUUAUGGCCACUGUUGGAGGCCAGGCCAGAUGUGGUUCCAGUGGUGUUCCCUCGUCAGUCUAUGGCUAAAUGCAGUGCUCAGAUGGUUCUAGACAACAUCAUCUGGCCUGGAGAAGAGGAAAAGGAGGAC